rnacentral:rRNA from 1 species
AUUGAACGCUGGCGGCAGGCCUAACACAUGCAAGUCGAGCGGAUGACGGGAGCUUGCUCCUUGAUUCAGCGGCGGACGGGUGAGUAAUGCCUAGGAAUCUGCCUGGUAGUGGGGGGCAACGUUUCGAAAGGAACGCUAAUACCGCAUACGUCCUACGGGAGAAAGCAGGGGACCUUCGGGCCUUGCGCUAUAAGAUGAGCCUAGGUCGGAUUAGCUAGUUGGUGAGGUAAUGGCUCACCAAGGCGACGAUCCGUAACUGGUCUGAGAGGAUGAGCAGUCAAGCUGGAACGGAGACACGGUACAGACUCCUACGGGAGGCAGCAGUGGGGAAUAUUGGACAAUGGGCGAAAGCCUGAUCCAGCCAUGCGGCGUGUGUGAAGAAGGUCUUCGGAUUGUAAAGCACUUUAAGUUGGGAGGAAGUGCAGUAAGUUAAUACCUUGCUGUUUUGACGUUACCGACAGAAUAAGCACCGGCUAACUCUGUGCCAGCCGCCGCCGUAAAAC